GUACUCAGUUCGGAUUGAAGGCUGAAAUUCGCCUUCAUGAAGCCGGAAUUGCUAGUAAUGGCAGGUCAGCAUACUGCCGUGAAUACGUUCCCGGGCCUUGUACACACCGCCCGUCACACCAUGAGAGUUGGGAAUACCCGAAGCCUGUGAGCUAACUUUUAGAGGCAGCAGUCGAAGGUAGAAUCAAUGAUUGGGGUGAAGUCGUAACAAGGUAUC
rnacentral:rRNA from 1 species